rnacentral:lncRNA from 1 species
GAUUGAAUCAGGACUGAUACUGUAGGUGAUAUACAGUAUUGUUUAACAUACUGUACUCUACACACUGUGAUUGAAUCAGGACUGAUACUGUAGGUGAUAUACAUUAUUGUUACAUACUGUACUCACACACUGUGAUGGAUCAGGACUGAUACUGUAGGUGAAUACAGUAUUGUUACAUACUGUAUCUACACACUGUGAUAUGAUCAGGAAACUGGAUACUGGAAUGUG